rnacentral:rRNA from 1 species
GACAGAGGGUGCAAACGUUGUUCGGAUUUACUGGGCGUAAAGCGUGUGUAGGCGGCUUGGCAAGUUGGAUGUGAAAGCCCACGGCUCAACCGUGGAAGCGCACCCAAAACUGCUUCGCUCGAGUCUCGGAGAGGAAGGUGGAAUGCUUGGUGUAGAGGUGAAAUGCGUAGAUAUCGGGAGGAACACCUGAGGCGAAGGCGGGCUACUGGGCCGAUACUGACGCUGAUGCGCGAAAGCCAGGGGAGCAAACGGG